rnacentral:rRNA from 1 species
CCUACGGGAGGCAGCAGUGAGGAAUAUUGGUCAAUGGGCGCAAGCCUGAACCAGCCAAGUAGCGUGCAGGAUGACUGCUCUACGAGUUGUAAACUUCUUUUGUACAGGGGUAAAACUAGAUACGUGUGUCUUUUUGCAUGUACUGUAUGAAUAAGGAUCGGCUAACUCCGUGCCAGCAGCCGCGGUAAUACGGAGGAUCCGAGCGUUAUCCGGAUUUAUUGGGUUUAAAGGGAGCGUAGACGGAUUGUUAAGUAAGUUGUGAAAUGUUGGGGCUCAACUGGAGAAUUGCCAUUAAUACUGGCAGUCUUGAGAAUAGCUGCGGUAGGCGGAAUGUGUGGUGUAGCGGUGAAAUGCUUAGAUAUCACACAGAACCCCGAUUGCGAAGGCAGCUUACCAAUCUAUAACUGACAUUGAGGCACGAAAGUGUGGGUAGCAAACAGGAUUAGAUACCCUAGUAGUC